AACAAAACACACAUUCCUAGUAACAACAAACAAGUAUCAUAUAAUUAAUCUAAAAUAAGGAAACAUUAAUUUUUUUUUCAAGUUUAAAAUAAAGAAUUCCAAUUUUUGUUUUUAACGAUAAAGUCACAUACACUUCUUUCUCACUCUGUAGAACUGUACAGUAAAAACUUCACAUCAAGUUGAGUCAUACACCUGGGAGAGAAAAUGUAAACCCUUAUUGUUAAGAGAAUAGCAAAGUUAGGCUGGGAAUGGUAUAGGAUAUUAUAAUGGGUAUGUUAAAUUAUCUUAAUAUUAGGCUACUUAAACUAGAAUUGUGUACCAUGGAACAAGAUUAUGCAUGGCUAUGUUUUUUCCCCAUUUUUCUGUCACAAAAAAACUCAAGAGCCUUGUACAGUAAAUGGCUUAAAUAAAAAUUUUGUGCUAAAAUCAUGACAGUCAUUGGUUCUAUGUGGAUUUUUAAAAAAAGUUUUGGUUGCAGAACAUUUUUUAAACUAUUUUUUAAGGAUAUGUAUCAUAUGUAGUUCCCAUUGACCAUUAUCAACCUAGCCAAACUUGAAACAUUCAUCUUAAAAACAAUGAAGGUUAUCUUUCUUCAUACAUGUGGAUUACACAAUCUGUAAUAAGGUGUAUUUUAGGCUUAAUACUUAACCUUCGUUCCACUGCACCAGCCAAAAUGAAAAGGCAGCACAUCCUACAGACCUGGACAUCAGCUUCUUAUGCUUGUACUUUCUGCCUUCCAGUACAGACAGGUAUAUAAUUAAAGAACUUUUCAGACUAAUACAAAGGAAACAAAAGGGAAAGAGGAGUGAAAAUAGGUGUGUAAGAUACCUGAAUUCCACAGGAGGAUCUUGAAUCCAAUACUUUUUUCUUCCUAAUUCUCAUCUGAUAUAGGGUAAGCUGUGGCCGUAUAACUUUAAAAAGAUUUGAGAUGAUGACAGAUGAAGAGAUACAGCUAUAGUUCUCUUGCUUUUACAAGGGAUUUUUAAAAACUGCAUUCUGUCAAGGACCAGAUACAACUGGAAAGCAGAAGCAAGAUACAAACCUCAGAGAUUAAAGUGCUUGCUUUAUAGAGCAGGCAGCUCACAGGCUCAAUGCAUAAUCUCUGAAAACCUACCUGGUCACUAGCCCUGAAACAGAAGAAUAAAACUCACACAUAACACCUGAAGAAGAUGCAUUAAAAUGGAAAAAAAGAAAAAUAAAAAAAGGGAUGUGACAAAUCGUCAUGAAGCUGAAGGAAAGUCACAGUGGAACUAAGAGGGAACCUAACAAGGUUGGGCAGAUCUGAAGACAUCCAUAGCUAAAGCUAUACAUGUUCUUACUCUUAUGUCUGGGACAAGUCUCAUCUUGAGGGAAAUCUCAAGUACUGCACGUCUCUGCAAAGUAAUUUUUACUGGUCCCACACAGCACUUCACCUGGAUACUGUAUAUUAAAAACAUUACAUUUGAUGUCUACACACUUAAUGUGAAAUCAAUUUGAAUAUGUUUGCUUUGUUAACUACAAGAGUAUAAUUUAAAGCAAAAGUUUAUUAUUUGGCAAUUAUAUACAACAUAUGAUUUAAUCUUAAAGAUGGUAUUUGUGCCCAGACUACCCACUCAAAUUUGGGCAAACAUUUUAUAUAGUGUUAUAGAGCCUUUUACACAACGCGAUCUUACACAAAAAAGCCAUGAGACUUGCAGCUAUACAGGCCCUUUAUCAUCUCUUGGAGACAGCUUUUGGCAGGCUACUCAGCAAAACCAGAAAUUUCACCUCCCCUGAAGUCUCCAUUAAGGUACCUGACUUCCAAUAUCAUGCAAAAAAAAUGCCUUCCACUAUAAAUCCUGUGUUUCUCUGCCUGCAAGCACUUGUUUAAACUAUGAGCUAAUUAUAUUUUUAUCCAGGCCAUCUGACACAUUAAGGGGUAUUGAUAGGUUUGUUCCAAGGCUUUUUUUUUUGCUAAUUUCAGCAUAACAUCAUGACAACUGCCCUCUUGUAACAGAAAGAAGCUUUGAGUGGAUUAUUUGGCCUCCUAAAGUAAUAACAUCUAAGACAAAAAAAGCAUUAUCAGCUGUGACGUAAUUGCAGAAAAAGAGCAGAAACUGUUCAAUGAAUCCAGCUAUUUGUGCCCUCUCUGCAUUCUGCAAAAUCAUUACAGCCUCUACAAAGCAGGAUUCCUUAUCUUCUUAUAUCUACUGAGCUAAGAAAGUAGUCUAUACUUUUCUUACAACAGAUGUACCAAAAAUACCCCUGUGGAGCAAUCUGUUUUAGGCUGACUGUCAAAGAUUUUAUUUUAUAGCCAUUACAUCAAAUCAAACUGCUGAGGGUGGUUUGCUGAUGAUGCUUAGCUUUUAGAAUACUUCUGACACAACUGAGAAGCCUUCAGAUUUUAAUCUAUUGAGUGUUAGAACAUCUUUUGUGUCCCGUACUUACUUUUCAGGAUCUCUGCAUUAUAGUGUGCUGCGGCAAAUUUCAGUGAAUCAUCUGAUCUUGUGUCAAAGCUGGAGUGUUCCCUGUUGUGUUGCCAGCCUCCUUUCCUCAACUGACAUUUGAACAUUUUCCAGUAUUCUGGGUAAAGUACUGACAUGAGUUCAUCCACACUGGACACAGAUCGCAAUUGCUCUUCCAGGUCUUUGCUUGCAGGAGCCUGUCAAAGUAACGUGCAAGAUUAAUUACUUUCUCUAUUACACAAGUUUUGCUGGAAAUUGCCCUUAAAAUAAACGUAAACAUUGUAAAAUGAA